UACGUAGGGUGCAGGCGUUAAUCGGAAUUACUGGGCGUAAAGCGUGCGCAGGCGGUUUUUUAAGUCAGAUGUGAAAUCCCCGGGCUUAACCUGGGAACUGCGUUUGAAACUGGGAGACUUGAGUGUGGCAGAGGAAGGUGGAAUUCCACGUGUAGCGGUGAAAUACGUAGAGAUGUGGAGGAACACCGAUGGCGAAGGCAGCCUUCUGGGCCGACACUGACGCUCAUGCACGAAAGCGUGGGGAGCAAACAGG
rnacentral:rRNA from 1 species